GUAUUAGUGCUUCCCUGGUAGCUCAGAGGUAGAGCUACUGUAUGUGGUGAGCGAAGGCGGCUAGCAAUAGGUCGCAGGUUCGAAUCCUGCCCGGUGGCU